GACGGAGGGGGCUAGCGUUGUUCGGAAUUACUGGGCGUAAAGCGCGCGUAGGCGGCGCAUUAAGUCAGAGGUGAAAGCCCAGGGCUCAACCUUGGAACUGCAUCCGAUACUGGCAGGCUAGAAUAUAGGAGAGGGAGGUAGAAUUUCAGGUGUAGCGGUGAAAUGCGUAGAGAUCUGAAGGAAUACCAGUGGCGAAGGCGGCCUCCUGGCCUAAUAUUGACGCUGAGGUGCGAAAGCGUGGGGAGCAAACAGGAUUAGAUACCCCCGUAGUCC
rnacentral:rRNA from 1 species